rnacentral:ribozyme from 1 species
UUUUUUUUUUUUUUUUUUUUUUUUUUUUUUUUUUUUUUUUU